rnacentral:rRNA from 1 species
AGUCCAGACUCCUACGGGAGGCAGCAGUGGGGGAUAUUGCACAAUGGGGGGAACCCUGAUGCAGCGACGCCGCGUGGGUGAAGGAGUAUUUCGGUAUGUAAAGCACUAUCGGCAGGGAAGAAGCAAGACGGUACCUGACUAAGAAGCCCCGGCUAACUACGUGCCAGCAGCCGCGGUAAUACGUAGGGGGCGAGCGUUAUCCGGAUUCACUGGGUGUAAAGGGAGCGUAGACGGCGGCGCAAGUCCGGAGUGAAAGCCCACGGCCCAACCGUGGGACUGCUCUGGAAACUGUGCGGCUUGAGUGCGGGAGGGGCAGGCGGAAUUCCUAGUGUAGCGGUGAAAUGCGUAGAUAUUAGGAGGAACACCGGCGGCGAAGGCGGCCUGCUGGACCGUAACUGACGUUGAGGCUCGAAAGCGUGGGGAGCAAACAGGAUUAGAUACCCGGGUAUC